rnacentral:rRNA from 1 species
CCUACGGGGGGCAGCAGUGAGGAAUAUUGGUCAAUGGCCGAGAGGCUGAACCAGCCAAGUCGCGUGAGGGAAGACGGCCCUACGGGUUGUAAACCUCUUUUGUCGGGGAGCAAAGCGAGUCACGUGUGACUCAUUGAGAGUACCCGAAGAAAAAGCAUCGGCUAACUCCGUGCCAGCAGCCGCGGUAAUACGGAGGAUGCGAGCGUUAUCCGGAUUUAUUGGGUUUAAAGGGUGCGCAGGCGGCGUGGCAAGUCAGCGGUAAAAUGUCGGGGCUCAACCCCGGCCGGCCGUUGAAACUGGCGUGAUCGAGUUGGAGAGAAGUAUGCGGAAGUCGUGGUGUAGCGGUGAAAUGCAUAGAUAUCACGAAGAACCCCGAUUGCGAAGGCAGCAUACCGGCUCCACACUGACGCUGAGGCACGAAAGCGUGGGUAUCGAACAGGAUUAGAUACCCUUGUAGUC